GCUAGGGCCAUGGCUCAGCGGUGGAGCAUCUGCUUGGCAUGCCGAGGGCCCUGAGUUCGAUCCCCGGCACCUUCAGUU
rnacentral:tRNA from 1 species